rnacentral:sRNA from 1 species
AUUCUGCCCAAGCGGGGAAGGAUGAGAAGCUUCGACCAAGGUUCGACUUGAGCGCCAGCGAGAGAGCGUUGCCGCAGGCAACGACCCGAAGG